ACUGACUGACAAUUAGAGCUGGCAAAUUAUUAUACGCAUCGAUAUUUUUCCCAUUUUUCAAAACAUCGAUGUUUUCAAGCACUAUCGAUGUUUUUGGGGCAUCACUAUUCAAAGAAGAAGAAGAACGAAUGCACGCGUAAGUGAUUGGAAAUGGCGUUGAACGCGUGUUACGACUUCUUGUGGAGCAAUCAUAUUUCUCAGACAGCAUGUGGAGUAACCUAAAACAUUAAUCCCAUACAUUUUUGGAUAGUAAAUAUAUAAAUACCGUUUUAUAAAUAUUAAAAAAAAAUUAUUCAAAUAUUAGCAGCGUUAAUAUAGUCCCAAUUUUAAACCUUCUUACACAAAGGGGUUUUAGCGAUUUAGCGACUUUUUCCAUCAUAACAUAUACACGCAUAGGAUAUUGUGAGAAAAGGGACGAUAAAACUUGAUGCAGAGGAAAUUGGGAUCACACCCACAAAUAAAUUCAGUAACCCAA